rnacentral:tRNA from 1 species
GGUCCUAUAGUGUAGCUUGGUUAUCACUUUCGGUUUUGAUUACAUUUGUCAGAUUUCCGAACAACAUCAGUUCGAAUCUGGUUAGGACCU